UUAAUUUGAUGGCCCUCAAAUAACCUUACCACAAUUUGUAUAACUAUUGUACGAUAGUUACAAGCGUUGCACGGCUGUCUUCAGUCAAUGUUGUGAAACUUUGGUUAGAUCCAUUUAAUUGACGUAAACCCUUACUUUAAUUAUUUUAAAGUAGUUCGCCGCUAUAUUGGUAGUGAUAUAAGGGACUAGGACAAGUCAUCA
rnacentral:rRNA from 1 species